GAUGAACGCUGGCGGCGUGCCUAAUACAUGCAAGUCGAGCGAAUGGAUUAAGAGCUUGCUCUUAUGAAGUUAGCGGCGGACGGGUGAGUAGCACGUGGGUAACCUGCCCAUAAGACUGGGAUAACUCCGGGAAACCGGGGCUAAUACCGGAUAACAUUUUGAACCGCAUGGUUCGAAAUUGAAAGGCGGCUUCGGCUGUCACUUAUGGAUGUACCCGCGUCGCAUUAGCUAGUUGGUGAGGUAACGGCUCACCACGGCAACGAUGCGUAGCCGACGUGAGAGGGUGACCGGCCACACUGGGACUGAGACACGGCCCAGACUCCUACGGGAGGCAGCAGUAGGGAAUCUUCCGCAAUGGACGAAAGUCUGACGGAGCAACGCCGCGUGAGUGAUGAAGGCUUUCGGGUCGUAAAACUCUGUUGUUAGGGAAGAACAAGUGCUAGUUGAAUAAGCUGGCACCUUGACGGUACCUAACCAGAAAGCCACGGCUAACUACGUGCCAGCCGCCGCGGUAA
rnacentral:rRNA from 1 species